rnacentral:rRNA from 1 species
GGAGGAAUACCGAUGGNGAAGGCAGCCUCCUGGGAUANCACUGACGUUCAUGCCCGAAAGCGUGGGUAGCAAACAGGAUUAGAUACCCUGGUAGUCCACGCCCUAAACGAUGUNGAUUAGCUGUUGGGCAGCAUGACUGCUUAGUAGCGAAGCUAACGCGUGAAAUCGACCGCCUGGGGAGUACGGUCGCAAGAUUAAAACUCAAAGGAAUUGACGGGGACCCGCACAAGCGGUGGAUGAUGUGGAUUAAUUCGAUGCAACGCGAAGAACCUUACCUGGUCUUGACAUGUACGGAACCCUCCAGAGACGGAGGGGUGCCUUCGGGAGCCGUAACACAGGUGCUGCAUGGCUGUCGUCAGCUCGUGUCGUGAGAUGUUGGGUUAAGUCCCGCAACGAGCGCAACCCUUGUCAUUAGUUGCCAUCAUUAAGUUGGGCACUCUAAUGAGACUGCCGGUGACAAGCCGGAGGAAGGUGGGGAUGACGUCAAGUCCUCAUGGCCCUUAUGACCAGGGCUUCACACGUCAUACAAUGGUCGGUACAGAGGGUAGCCAAGCCGCGAGGUGGAGCCAAUCUCACAAAACCGAUCGUAGUCCGGAUUGCACUCUGCAACUCGAGUGCAUGAAGUCGGAAUCGCUAGUAAUCGCAGGUCAGCAUANUGCGGUGAAUACGUUCCCGGGUCUUGUACACACCGCCCGUCACACCAUGGGAGUGGGGGAUACCA